rnacentral:lncRNA from 1 species
ACAGUUUAACAUUUUCUUUAGUGGUGCAACCUUGUUCUGAGAUUACAGGGAAUGCUGAGUUUUAUUAGGGUUCUUUCAACAAACUCAUUUAAUUGUUGCUGCCCCUUAGCUAGUGCUGAGUCACUCUCAAACUUCACAGCAUUCCACGACAGCUCAUCCUUCUUGACUUUCCUUUUUUUUUCCCUUUUCCUUUUUCCUUUUUUAAGUUCUCUUAAUAUUUUUUAUUCCCAACAGACUUGUCUUUGGACAAAAUUGAGAAGAACUCAUAAACUUGGCUUCCUCGCUUCUGCUCCUCAGACGCGCGUGGAUGAUUUGAAGAUAUUAGCCUAACAAGAUGGAAGCAGGUUUAAAAUUUUACAUAAGAAGUUACCUUUUUCAGCUGGUCCUAUAGUACCCCUCCUCAGGAAUGUCUCCCCAGUGCAAGGACAAAGACUGAAGAGACUGCUAUAUUGAUGGACUCUCAAGCCAACUAUGAAGUUGAAACAAAGAAAGUGAUCACCUGAAGACACCUCCUCUGCUAAGAAACACCCCCAAAUUGUGCAGCUUCUGCCACUAGAACUCUCAGAACAAGAGACAAUCUUUUCAAGAAACAGAAAAACUCAAUAAUGACAUCUAGAUUUUCAUGAGCCAAGAACUUUCCCUUCCUCAUGUGUAUUCCUCUGUUUGUACUUAAAUUCAUGUGACAUUCAUUUUUUUCCUAGUAUGGAUAUGCUUAUUAAUGCACUUGUUUCAAAAUCCCAAAUUGCACAAAUGUGUUAAUAUUUUAAGAAACAAAAUGAAUCCUACAAGGAGAAUGAUUUUUAGCCACACAUAGGGUUGGAUCUUGAGAGUGACCUACAGAAUAAAAGUACUUUUAAAAUAAAGUAGUCAGAGGCUAUUCAAAGGGUAAAAUAAUCAUAGUACCACAUUGGUCCACUUGACACUAACCAAUCGAUCAUUUUUUUUUAAUCAAGAAAGCUAGAUUCUAUCAGAUAAAAUCACUGCUUCUAAAGAGUUUAAAUCUAGUUAGAAAAAGUUAUAGAAAUGUUUGCAAAGAUAAGUAACAGAUAGAGUCAGUAGAGGAUAAGAUCAAAAACAAAACCAAGCAAAAGAUGAGUUCAGGGGAGUUUGCCAUCAAGUUGGCAAAACUGACUUACUUAGGGAAGAAAGUUAUAAAACAGGAAAAUAUGAGAUGAACCUUGAGUGAUGUGGAAGAUUUAGAUAAAUGGAAAGGAAGGAGAAAAUGGAGUUCUUUAGGUGGUUGUAAUUGGAGGAGGAAAUGAAUACACACAUCUUGUUGACUUAAACCCAGACAUUCAGCAGCUCUCUAUACAUAUCUGGAAAAGACUGCACAGUCACCUCCUGUCUCUCACCCCAGGUAUUACUUAGAAUUAUUAUCAUAUUUCCCUUCCUUUAAAGUAAGUAAGGGUGAUUGGUGACAAUAUGGAGAACUAUGAUUUUUCCAUUAACCUAAUAAUAAUUGGUAUUUAUUGAGUUCUGUUAAGCAUUUUACAUAUUAACUCACUUAAGCCUUUCAACAGCCUUGCAAAAUAGGUAUUAUUAUCCCCAUUUUACAGGCAAGAAAACUGAGGUUUAAGUAACUUGCCGAAGUGCCAUAUACAGGGCUCACAUUCAGUAUUGCAGUUGCAAAGCUCAUGAUCUAUAGUGCCAAGUUGCAAUAUUGUAGUCAAUGUCACAAUUAUUACCCCUUUUUAUAUUCCUUGAUAUUUUUCCAUGGCAAACAAUUAGCUAUUUCAUUUAAUAAUCACCUAAAACUUUUCAGUCUUCUGAUUAAAAUUACGCUGGAGUGAUAGAAUGUAUUUUCAUGAUAGAAAUUGGGAAAAAAAAUGGGGAAUGAAGUUUAUCAGCAUUUCAGACUUGUUUUUUUUUUUUUUUUUUGCAAGACUUUGAUGAGAUUGUUCACUUUUGUCUAUGUAAAAUCCCAAAUCCUUGAGAAUAAAAAAGGGGGAGGUUUAAGUCACUUGUUGCAAUGCCCUUUUUAAUAGAGGCAAUAAAUCUAAAGGCCAUAAAUUUAGAGUGACUUACAGAAGAUCGAACUUUGGAGUGUGGCAGAGUAAGGGAUGGAAACCGGGCCCUCCAGUUCACUAUCAGUAGCUUUUGCACUGGUCUGCCCUUCCUAAAUUAAGUAUGCACUUCAAUUUGAUGAGUGGAAACAGUCUAUCUGGGCAGUAACCAGGGAGCUUUGUGCCUAGUAGAUUGCUUCUGUUCUGCACUUCUUUGGUUUCCCACCUCAAUGUAAAAAAUAGCUAGCAAUGAAGUCCAGAAGUUGUCAAUGGUUCAUCCCCAGAAGAAUGCAUAAUGUCCAAAGUUGUAUGUGUAUGAUGUCUUCAAUGGUAUUAAGUUAUUUCAAAUUCUUAGUUCACCUACAUAAAUCAUUUCUAACAAGCAUCUUCUUAACCAACUUUAUGCACAGUGUAUGUUUGUAAGUGCUUCUGCACGAAUGUUUAUACAUGACUGUUUCCAUAGUACUUAUGUUUUUAAAAAUAUUCAGUCAUUUCCUACUAUAAUCCUCAUGUAUCCAUGUAACUGACUCAAAAAUACUUCAGCCACAGAAAGCUAAAACUGAGCAAAUCUCAUUCUUCUUUUCCAUCCCCUUUGCAUGUGGCUGGCAUUUAGUAAUGAUUAAUAAUAUGGCCAGCUGAAUAACAGAGGUUUGAGACACAAUUCUUUCUCAAAGGAGUCAGCUAAGCUGGGUCUACUUAUGGACAAACAUCUAAAUGUGUGGAAGUAUCUGAUAUUUGACAAUGGUAAAUUUCCACUUAGCUAGCUAGCAUUGUCAGACUUCAAUCUCCUCAUGGCUCUGGCCGUCCUGUUUUAAGCAUGAUAAUUGUUGGCCACAUCUCACAUAGUUCUCAUUGAGUGAGUUCAUAAAUAAACAGGGUUUUUUUUUUUUUUUAAAGAGCAGCCAAGCACAAAGUGUGACUUUGUUGACAUUUUAUGUGACUUUGUCAUAUGUUCCUAACCCCCAAUAAAAGCAAUGUUGCAUCAACUGUGAA